UGAGGAAUAUUGGUCAAUGGGCGCAAGCCUGAACCAGCCAUCCCGCGUGCAGGAAGACGGCCCUAUGGGUUGUAAACUGCUUUUCCAGGGGGAGAAUUUUUCUGUCGUGACAGGAAUUGACGGUACCCUGGGAAUAAGCAUCGGCUAACUCCGUGCCAGCAGCCGCGGUAAUACGGGGGAUGCGAGCGUUAUCCGGAUUUAUUGGGUUUAAAGGGUGCGUAGGCGGAUUGAUAAGUCAGUGGUGAAAACCUGCAGCUUAACUGUAGACUUGCCGUUGAUACUGUUGGUCUUGAGUAUGGUCAAGGUAGGCGGAAUGUGUAAUGUAGCGGUGAAAUGCUUAGAUAUUACACAGAACACCGAUUGCGAAGGCAGCUUACUGGACCAUCACUGACGCUGAGGCACGAAAGCGUGGGGAUCGAACAG
rnacentral:rRNA from 1 species